GGCCGCGUGGCGUAAUGGAAGCGCGUCUGACUACGAAGACCGCAGGGUUCAUCCCUGGGGAAGCUCACGUGAUCAGGAGGCCGCAGGUUCGACCCCUGCCGUGGUCA